rnacentral:RNase_P_RNA from 1 species
GUCGGUCGGACGAUUGCGGGCGAGUUUUCGCACGAGGAAAGUCCGGACUCCGGAGGGUACCGUAGGAGGUAACGCCUCUCCGCCGUAAGGCGAGGAUCAGAGCAACAGAGACGAGCCGAUUCAGUUCGGGUGAAACGGGCAAUCUCUACGGGGAGCAACAUCAAAUAGGCGGCUGCUUGAUUCUGACCCGGAAAAGGCCGCGGGUAGAUGGCUUGAGGCGGGGCGUGAGCCCCGCACUAGAUGAAUGAUCGUCAGUGCACCCGAUUUAAAUCGGGUGCACAACAUAAUCCGGCUUACAGACCGACC